CCGGCGAGCGCUGGAGUGGGGUCGGGCCCGAGUGGCUGCCUCCCGCGCCCUCUCUCGAGUCCCGGAGUCCUAGUGAAAGGAAGGGGGAGGGCGCGGGCGGGGGAGGGGGAGGAUCGCAGCGGCCUCGCGGCAGAGCCCAGCGGGGACCGCCACCCCGCGAUCUGCCUCGGCAGGGGUGCGGGCACCCUACACCACCGCUCGCCCAGCCGACCGGGGGGCCGCUUCCCCGACUUGAGACCGGGGGAGGCACAGCCAGGAACCUGCGAGCGACCUCUCUCCCUUCACCCUCCCUCAGUGAAUUUCUGUGGAUUUCGAUCCAUGGGAGGGAGUGGGGCUCGGGCCGGGGGUGAAGGAAAACAGUUCGUGGAGGCGGAUCGGAGACCCCUCGCCGCCCUCGCGCCCCUCCCGCUCCCCGGCGCCCUCGCGGCCCAGUGGCUCUGCGCGCCCGAGUCCGCGGCGCGGAGACUGGGCGGCCGCGGGGACUGCCGCGGGCUCGGCUCCGGGGCUCAACACUGCCACUGUCUGACACAACAGCAGCAGUGUCGCGGGAGCUGCGCGGCCGAGGCGCGAGAUGUGAUAGGCUCUGCAAACUGGGUGCAUUUUUUUUUAACCUGACACUGGACCGCUGAUGAGGGAAAGACAACGAGAGAGACGACGCUGGCUUGCGGUUCUCUAUUCAGGGUGGUGAAAAGAAGAAGGAAUGUCUUCAGUUCAUACAAAAUGUGGUAUUUUAAUCUCCUUGACUAUUUGUAUGCGGGGCUGCAAAAGUGGACCUAUUCAGGCCACUCAGUGGCAACCCCAGGCAACUGAGGAAUGUAACUCCCUCAGGGGCGUGUCUGCGUUAUGGGACAAUAUAGAACAGAUAGGGAUUCAGAAAGGUUUUGCCAGUGGUUUGAACUCAAAGACGCCGGGCAGAGUUUACUCAAAGCUGGCAUUCUGAGAGGACUCCUGCCUACCACGUUUUAUACUGAGAGUUUUGGGACUGUGGAUUGAGGAAUGAUUUGGUAGUGGUUGGGAAUGACCCCCCCAGUGUGAUGUCAAUCACAUGUCAAUGUGAUGGGACCAGUUAUAUCAGCCACUGCCGACCUGGGUCGGCUGCUGGUGUGAAUUCUGUCACAGAGCCUCCUCACUCUCAUCACUCUUUUUUACAGAGCGGAUGCAGUGAAGUACAGCAACGGAGACUAUUCUGGGAGGACCCAGCAACUCCCAUCCUGGCCCAUUUCGCUGGAUCCGUUUCGAUCCUCAGUAGAUCACUGCCCUCUGACCCAAGUGUUCUUACCAAAGUGCUUUUUUUUUUCAGAGAAACGUUCUGACUGGCCAGAAAACGUUUCCUGUUACUCAUCACAGCGAAAACUCUCUUAGAGCAAUGUUUCAGUAGGUCUUCUGUUACCCAUAUACCGGAGUAUUGUUAUUAGUGGGAAGGUAAUGCUUAAUUAGGAAAAAAGAAAAUCAGCAGGGCAUAUGAACUGUUGAUAGAAAUAAAGAUAAAG
ensembl:lncRNA